rnacentral:miRNA from 14 species
AGACCAUUUAUGUUCCCUGAAGAAAGAUAUAUAUAUAUAUAUGUGUGUGUGUGUGUGUGUGUGUGUGUGUGUAUACAUAUAUAUACAUAUAUACAUACAUAUACAUAUAUAUAUAUAC